rnacentral:lncRNA from 1 species
CCGCCUGUAUAAAGAUUUUUGUAAUUUUUUUAUUAUUAUUGUUUUCAAUAUUUUGGUUACUAUUUUUUUUAUUGCAUAUUGAUAUUAUAAUAUAAUAAUAUUUUAACAUAAUUAUUUCUAUAUUCUAUAUUGGUAACAUAAUUAUAUUGUUUAUAUAUUAUUUGUAUAAUGAUAUUAUAAUAUAAUUAUAUUGUUUCACACCU